GACGAACGCUGGCGGCGUGCCUAACACAUGCAAGUCGAACGGAAAGGCCCUGCUUUUGCUGGGUGCUCGAUAGGCGAACGGGUGAGUAACACGUGAGUAACCUGCCCUUGACUUUCGGAUAACUUCAGGAAACUGGGGCUAACACCGGCUAGGAGCUCCUGCUGCAUGGUGUGGGUUGGAAAGUUUCGGCGGUUGGGUAUGGACUCGCGGCUUAUCAGCUUGUCGGUGGGGUAGUGGCUUACCAAGGUUUCGACGGGUCGCCGGCCUGAGAGGGUGACCGGCCACAUAGGGACUGGGAUACGGCCCAGACUCCUACGGGAGGCAGCAGUGGGGAAUAUUGCACAAUGGGCGGAAGGCUGAUGCAGCAACGCCGCGUGCGGGAGGACGGCCUUCGGGUUGUAAACCGCUUUCGCCUGGAACGAAGCGUGAGUGACGGUAAUGGGUAAAGAAGCACCGGCUAACUACGUG
rnacentral:rRNA from 1 species